rnacentral:rRNA from 1 species
GACGAACGCUGGCGGCGUGCUUAACACAUGCAAGUCGAACGGAAAGGCCUCAGCUUGCUGGGGUACUCGAGUGGCGAACGGGUGAGUAACACGUGGGUGAUCUGCCUUGCACUCUGGGAUAAGCUUGGGAAACUGGGUCUAAUACCGGAUAUGAACUGCCUUUAGUGUGGUGGUUGGAAAGUUUUUUCGGUGCAAGAUGAGCUCGCGGCCUAUCAGCUUGUUGGUGGGGUAAUGGCCUACCAAGGCGUCGACGGGUAGCCGGCCUGAGAGGGUGUACGGCCACAUUGGGACUGAGAUACGGCCCAGACUCCUACGGGAGGCAGCAGUGGGGAAUAUUGCACAAUGGGCGGAAGCCUGAUGCAGCGACGCCGCGUGGGGGAUGACGGCCUUCGGGUUGUAAACGCCUUUCGACAGGGACGAAGCUUUUUGUGACGGUACCUGUAUAAGAAGCACCGGCUAACUACGUG